GGUAACGAUAGGAAAGGCGCGUGAAGUUAGAAGGUGCUACAAGAAUAACGAGGUUCAAUAGUGAAAAGAAAAUGGAUUUCGUGCAGUAUUUUCACCGUGUGGAACGAGAGCCAGCAUCAAGGCCGAUAAGAAGACAGACCGCGGAGCGCAACGGCGUUCAAGUGUUUGCCAGAGGGCCAGUCGGUUCGACCACAACGCGUGAAGCUGAUAGAGGAUUUCCGUUUGAGGCGGGCACGAGCAUGUGCGUCACGGGCUGUGACGCGAUACCACAUAUGCAGGUGCGGGACCAACAAGCGGCAGAUUCGAUGGCUGAAUCUCCAAUUUCAUCAGUAGCUAUUGGCAACGUAUGUGAGACCUUUCGCCAAGACUUUCCAUCUCAAAACUAUCGGGAAUCAGUGUUCCAGAAAACGUAUGCAGAAGCGCUGCGACUUGUAAAAGCCAAGAUCGAACGCAGGUUUCUCGAGAUCAAAAGAGAGCAACGGCAUCAACGCAUAUUGGAACUUGAGCGCGAGCUUCGCGAAUUAUGCGAUACGAAUGAGUCCGGGAGUGACGAAAAGCGGUGCUGGGCAACAACUGAUUCGGGAGCAUCGAAUAUUAAGUCACCGGGAGACGAACAUUUCACAACGCAAGAAUCGCAGAGGCACAGCGGCACAAUUAUUAUUGGCACACCACAAUGCCAAGUUCCAACCAAGCAUUUGGUUUCAAGUUCCAAGGGUAAUGACCUACAACACAAUAAUGGCGCAAGAUUGACGCAUUUCGAUGGCGAACGCUCUCGAUGGCAAACGAGCAAAACUCUUGCGACAAGGCAUACACGCACGACAAACACAACAAACUUAGCUGGAACGGUUACUAACACUACCUCACAAACAACACUGCACACGAACACUAAUCCAGAUGAAAACCUUAUCGGGUCAUAUCACCAUUUACGGCUGCAUCCUGAUGGGUUGAAUGAAGAAAUCAGCACUGUAAAGGCUUUCCUUGAAAGACGAAUAUUGAUUGCGGUCCAGAAUAGAGAAACUGAGCAACAACAUGCAGUAUCUAAAAUAGAAGAAUGCAACUCCGAAGCAGUUUCAGAGCGGUUAUCAUUAACAAUGCCUGAUGGAAACAGUGCGGGAGUCUCACUCGCGACCGAUACGUGUAUCGUUGAUCCGUUGAUGAAGGAAUGUAAGCCCAAGUGUGAGGGGUUUUUAGUUGCGACGCAGCUUGAAGGAAACAAGGCGCGCGCGUGCGGUGGCUUGGUCGCAACCUUGCGAUGGAAUGAGAGGGAUAAAUGUAUCUCUCAAUGAAGUGUUCGGUGUUGGCGAACAGGGAUCCGAUCUUUGUCAUGAUGAGUUUCGGCACUAAACGGAUCGGGCCGCGAGUUAACGUCGGACUGUUUCGUGCAAGAAGCAAAGUAGUGUGGUGGUAUGUACGGCUGAAACAAAAAUCAUUUUUAAUCAAUCAGUCAUUUUCAGCUGCGAAGGUAAACAAAAGAUCGUCGGGGUUCUUCCAUCCGAUCACCGAAGCGUUACAUGAACCAAAGUUGACGACGACAGCCGUAGAUCGAUCUGAUAACAAGACUCAACGAGAUGAUUGACCUCUCAUGUGUGCCAUCCGUAAGCAGUCGUUGCCGAUCGGUCCUUUACGAAAACAAGAGAGGGAUGGAAUACAGGUGUACGCAAUAAUCCGUAAGCGCUGGUGACUGUAAUAAGCAAGGUUGCUGGCAACACUGGCAUAUGACAGUUCUGGCUGCUUGGGGAAUGAUCCAGUAGACGUGCUUGGGGACUAGAGAGCAACAGACGUAUACGUAAUAAAGCGUACAUAAUAAAACUUAUUACAUGGUGUCAGAAGUGUAAGAACUCUCGGAACCUAAAAGCAAACGGGAAAGUAUCGUCCAAUAUCCGGUAAAUCGUGGAUUUAUUGUCGUUUGCCAGCAGAACAAACGCAUAUUAAAGUCGCAUAUUGCGUGUAUCAAGAGAAGAAAAGAAGCAGCAAGAUGGCGGCAAAUUCAGCAGACCGCUUACCAAGAGCGCUGGAUUGCUCAGAUUUGGCAAAAGAAUGGCCAAAAUGGAAGCAGCAGUUUCACAUCUUUAUGGUUGCGAAUAACAAAAUCAACGAGGACGAGCGGAACAAGAUCGCGAUCUUUUUAUGGCUAGUUGGUGAUCAUGGAGUUGAAAUAUACAACACAUUAUUUCCCAGCAACGGAGACAUGAAGGCAAUGUUCGGUGAAAUUGUCGAAAACAAUACAAAAAAAGAUGAUAAGGGAGAUGCUGCUAAAAAAGAAGAAAUAGGCAGAACAUUGGAUGACGUCAUUACUGCUUUUGAUUCUUACUGUCUUCCAAGAAAAAAUUUGGCCAUCGAAGCGUUCAAAUUCAACCUCAUAGAGCAGAAAGAAAAUCAACCCUUUGCAGAGUUUGAAACGGCACUACGAAAACAAAUGGCAUUUUGCGAAUUUGAGUGUGCAAAUUGUCACGCAUCCUAUGCUGACCGAAUGCUUCGUGAUCGUAUUAUAGUCGGUAUCCAGAAUAAAACGUUGCAGCUAAAAUUGUUGAAUGCAAAAGACGAGCCGCUUAAAAACGUCGUAGAAAUGUGUAAAACGUAUGAGGCUGCAUCAAAAUACAAGCAGCUAAUUCAGACCAACGAUGUACAUCACCUCAAUAGUGUAGAAAAAGAUGUUGGAAAUUGGAAAAUAGACACAAUUCAGCGUAGUGAACUUCAUAAGGCAAGCUGCUAUAACUGUGGACAACCUUUUAACGGGAGUCAUCGUCGUUAUUGUCCUGCAAAGAAUGUGACCUGUAACAAUUGCGGAAAGCGGGGACAUUUCAUGAAAUUCUGCAAAGCUCCGAAGAUCAACAGCAAUAGUGACAUCUCACGAGAACCGGUACGAACAACGCAUGAAGUGAAGCAAAGGAACGACAAAGAUGUAAACAUGAUCGCGUGGGCUGAUUCAGAGUAAACUGUAACGUAGCAACAGUGGGUUCCAAUUACAAAUGGACUAAACGAUACCUAAUUCAGGACUGGCCAGUGGAAUUUAAGCUUGAUACCGGUGCAGAUGUCAAUUGCAUUCCUGUUAGCGUGGUUACCCGUAUGAACUUACCGUUGUCGAAAGAGCGUACAUUUAAUGUUGUGGAUUAUAAUAAUAAUCGUAUACAAAUACACGGUCAGAUUCGUCUUACUUGUGUUGACGAAGAAACCAAAAACGCAUUAUCAGCUAAUUUCUUUGUUGUAGAUGACAAUCUUCAACCAAUAUUGGGAUUACAAACAUGUAUAGCAUUUGGAUUGCUGAAACGCUUGAAUAGUAUAGAAUCAUCUCAGUCUUAUCCAUCAGACAGAAAAACGUUCAUUGAUUCAAAUGCAGAUCUUUUUGAAGGCCUGGGAAACCUUCCAGGGGAAUGCACUAUAGCGCUUAAAGAAAACUCCACUCCCUCCUUGCACUACAAAAAGCGCAUACCAAUUAACCUGCACUCUCGUUUAAAAGAUGAGCUUAAAAAUAUGGAAUCUUUAGGGAUUGUUAGUUCGGUUGAAUACCCUACAGAUUGGGUAAACAAUAUGCAAAUUGUCGAAAAACCUAAUGGUGCUUUACGUAUUUGUCUAGAUCCGAAACCAUUGAAUGAAUGUAUCAAAAGGGAACAUUUUCUUAUCCCAAAGUCAGAAGAUCU